GCAAGGACAACAUCAUACUACAACAGCUUCACUUAAUUUGCAGCUUCGUCUAAUAGCUCCAUUAUUUAAGGAAUUCCUUACUUCAAGUGACCCUGUUAAAUCAAUUCAAUAUAAGAAAAUGAAAAUCAAAUAACAUUUCGAGAGAGAUAAAAACAAUGUAGAACCCACACAUAGUUUUUUUUAUUUUUUUAUUAUAAGGAACCCCACAUAGUUUUUAUCAUAUUCCUUUAGGAAAUUCUAUGAGAAUCUAUCCCUUUUUUUAAGUAAGGAAUCUAUCACCUUUCUUUUUUUUUAGGAGGAGAAUCUAUCAUCUUUUAUGAUAUUCUUUUUCUGUUUUUUCCACUUGAUUUGCAGCAAGGGGAGCUAUAUUAAAAACUGAAUUUGAGCAAAAUGUGAGCUUUCUAUGUAAAUUGGUGUUUCAUGAGCAAAUGUUCAAGCGAAAAUGUGGAUCACCUCCUCCUACGUUGUCCAAUGGAAACUAGCUUCUUCUUGGAAUAUUGAGAUGGUUCUGGAUGCUUGGCUGAUGUAGGGCUUGGUGAAUGAGGCACUCCCCAGCAGGAAAUCCAAAAGAAAGAACAGAAGUCAGAGAGCUUGGGAUGUUGCCCCACUAGCACUCAUGUAGGUCUAGUGGAAGGAAAGAAAUAGGAGAGCUUUUGAUGGGACUGAGAACGAUGAUGUACAUCUGAGAAAUAGCCUGUUAUUCCUAGUUUCUUUUAAGUGCACCCAUAAGUUCCAACUUUAUAGAAGAUUGGGUGCUGUCACCUUCACUAAGUUCCGUUUUUUUUAAAAAAAUAAAUAAAUAAAUUAGAAACUGAGCAUUUUAUUCAUCUCCAAAAAAGGGUACAUUGAGCUGAGGAAGUUAAAAUACGAUAUCUCCUCCCUAGUUCAUCUUGUAAGAUAGAAUCAACUAUCUUAUAACAUUCUGAUAUGAGGUAAAUGCAUUUGGAAG
rnacentral:lncRNA from 1 species